GAUGAACGCUGGCGGUAUGCUUAACACAUGCAAGUCGAACGGACUCUUCGGAGUUAGUGGCGGACGGGUGAGUAACGCGUGAGAAUCUGGCUUUGGGUUCGGGACAACCACUGGAAACGGUGGCUAAUACCGGAUGUGCCGAGAGGUAAAAGAGAAAUUGCCUGCAGAUGAGGUCGCGUCUGAUUAGCUAGUUGGUGAGGUAAAGGCUCACCAAGGCAGUGAUCAGUAGCUGGUCUGAGAGGAUGACCAGCCACACUGGGACUGAGACACGGCCCAGACUCAUACGGGAGGAAGGAGUGGGGAAUGUUCCGCAAUGGGCGAAAGCCUGACGGAGCAAUACCGCGUGAGGGAAGAAGGCUCUUGGGUUGUAAACCUCUUUACUUAGGGAAGAACAAAAUGACGGUACCUAAGGAAUAAGCAUCGGCUAACUCCGUG
rnacentral:rRNA from 1 species